CAACCUCAGAUCAGACAUGACGAACCAAUGAAUUUAAGCAUAUUAGCGGAGGAAAAGAAACUUACCACGAUUCCCUCAGUAACAGCAAGUGAACAGGGAAGAGCCCAGCUCCCUGCCCCGCAUGUGGCGUACAGGAAACCCAUCCUGACCCAAUGUAGUUUUAUCUGGUAAAGCAGAUGAUUAGAGAGGACUUAGGGCUGAAACAGUCUCAACCUAUUCUCAAACUUUAAAUGGACAAGAAGCCUGGCUUUCUGGACUGGAGCUGGGUAUGGAAUGUGAGUGCCUAGCGGGCCACUUUUGGUAAGCAGAACUGGUGCUGUGGGAUGAACUGAACACUGGGUUAAGGUUCCUGAUGCCGACGCUCAUCAGACCCCAGAAAAGGUUUUGGUUGCUAUGGAAAUCAGAAUCUGCUAAGGAGUGUCCAACAACUCACCUGCUGAAUCAACUAGACCUGAAAAUGGGUGGUGCUGGAGUAUCAGGCCCAUACCCGGCCAUCACCAGAAGUUGGGAAGGAUGCAUACUGAUGGAGCAGAGGCAGUCCCCUCAUGCAUUGCACUGUGCUGCCCUGAUGGAUCUAGCCCCCACUGUGGGUGCUACACUGCAACAAGUAGGAGGGCCACUGUGGUGAGCCUUGAAGCCUAGGGUGCAGGCCCUGGUGGAGCCACCACACAUGCAGAUCUUGAUGGUAGUAGCAAAUAUUCAAAUGAGAACUUUGAAGGCCGAAAUGGAGAAGGGUUCCAUGUGAACAGCAGUUGAACAUAGGUCAAUUGGUCCUGAGAGAUAGGCAAGUGCUGUUCCGAAGGGACAGGUGAUGGCCUCCAAUGCCCUCAGCCAAUCAAAAGGAAGUUGGGUUCAGAUCCCCGAAUCUGGAGUGGUUAAGAUGGGUGCCAGGAGGCGUCUAGUGCAGUAAUGCAAAUGAUCCCAGAGAAGCUGGUGGGAGCCCUCAGGAGAGUUCUCUUUGUGAAGGGCAGGGCACCCUGGAAUGGGUUUGCCCAUGCCUUGGAAAGCAUCAAGGUUCCAGCAGCAUCAUGUGAGCUCUUCCUGGCUCUUGUAAAUCCAGGGGAGAGGAUGUAAAUCUCAAGAUAGGCUGUACCAAUAACCACAGCAGGUCUCCAAGGUGAACAGCCUCUGGCAUGUUGGAACAAUGUAGGUAAGGGAAAUCGGCAAGCCGGAUCCGUAAUUUCGAGAUAAGGAUUGGCUCUAAGGGUUGGGUAGGUUGGGCUGGAGUGUGAAGUGGGGGGUGGGAUGAGGUGCCACUGCCCCCCUCACCUGCCGCCCAGAAUCCACCCCCAGUUGCGGCCCAUCCCUGGCCCUCUCACGCACAUGACCCCCCUCCCUCUCUCUCCAUCACUCCUCCCUUCUUUCUUCCCCUCCCCUUGUGGGUGGGGAUUUGGUGGAGGGGGCAGGGGCUGUGGCAGCGGGGGGGCUAGGGGCAGAGGAACCCAGGUGGUGGGAGUAUGGGUCCCCCUUGGGGUCAGGGCAUUCCCAUGGGCCAGCAGUGGUGACUCUGGACACAAGCUGGGCCCUUCAGGUGGAUUGGCGCAGCUGCAGUGAGCAUAGCAAUGGCUCUCCAGGGAGGCAGCCUCCCCCUCCUCCGCCUCCCCUCUCAGGGCUGUGGUUCCCAGGGCCGUGGUUCCAUGGCACCUUGCCUUGGCUGGCAACUAGCAGCUGACUUAGAACUGGUGCAGACCAGAGGAAUCCAACUGUUUAAUUAAAACAAAGCUUCACGAAGGCCUGCAGCGGGUGUUGACGCAAUGUUAUUUCUGCCCAGUGCUCUGAAUGUCAAAGUGAAGAAAUUCAAUGAAACACGGGUAAAUGGCAGGAGUAACUAUGACUCUCUUAAGGUAUCCAAAUGCCUCAUCAUCUAAUUAGUGAUGUUUAUGGAUGGAUGAAUGAGAUUCCCACUGUCCCUACCUACUAUCCUAGCGAAACCAUAGUCAGGGAACUGGCUUGGUGGAAUCAGUGGGGAAAGAAGACCCUAUUGAGCUUGACUCUAGUCUGGCAUGGUGAAGAGACAUGAGAAGUAUAGGAUAAGUGGGAGGCCCCCGGUGCCCCCCAUGACCCCACAAGGGGCCAAGGCAGGCCACCGGUUAAAUAUCACUACUCUGGGGACUCAGGCAAUAGCACAGCAGGUUAAGUGCAAAGACUGGCAUAAGGAUCCCGGUUCGAGCCCCCAGAUCCCCACCUGCAGGGGAGUCACUUCACAGGCUGUGAAGCAGGCCUGCAGGGGUCUAUCUUUCUCUCCCCCUCUCUGUCUUCCCCUCCUCUCUCCAUUUCUCUCUGUCCUAGCCAACAAUAAUGACAUCAAUAACAAUAGUAACUACAACAAUAAAACAAGGGCAACAAGAGAGAAUAAAUAUUAAAAAUAAAAAUUAAUUAAUUAAAACAAAGAAAUACCCCUACUCUGAUAGUUUUUUCACUGACCUGGUGAGGUGGGGGUCGAGCCCUGAGGGGCUCUUGCUUCUGGCGACAAGCGUCCGGCUGAACAACCUACUCCGGGACAAUGCCAGAUGGGAAGUUUGACUGGGGCGGGCGGUACACCUGUCAUAGGGAAACGCAGUUGCCCUAAGGCGAGCUCAGGGAGGACAGAAAUCUCCAAUGGAGCUGAAGGGCAAAAGCUUGCUUGAUCUUAAUUUUCAGUACGAAUACAGACCAUGAAACUGAGGCCUCAUGAUCCUUCCGAGCUUUAUGGUUUUUUUAAGCAGGAGGUGUCAGAAAAGUUACCACAUGCAUAACUGGCUUGUGGCUGCCAAGCGCUCAUAGCAACGUUGCUACUGCUACUACUACUGCUGCUACUCCUACUGCUACUUCUGCUACUAAUGCUACUGCUACUACUACUACUGCUGU
rfam:Erinaceus europaeus unplaced genomic scaffold scaffold01124, whole genome shotgun sequence